rnacentral:rRNA from 1 species
CGGCAACAGCUCAAAUUUGAAAUCUGGUCCUUUCAGGGCCCGAGUUGUAAUUUGCAGAGGAUGCUUCGGGUACGGGUACCUACCGAGUUCCCUGGAACGGGACGCCAUAGAGGGUGAGAGCCCCGUCUGGUAGGACACCCAGCCCAUGUGAAGCUCCCUCGAC